AUCAAAGCAUAUAUUUACAACAAAAAUUGAUGAGCAUUACAAUGUAAUGCCAUUACAAAAGUUGAAGGGGAUCAACCCCUAUGGUCCUAUGAUGCUACCUACAAUCCUCUAUGCUUUGCUGGUGGCUGCUCGUCCUCAUCAUUGUCGCUUCUGUCAUUUUUAUCGUCGUCGUCAUUGUUGUCAUCGUCUUCACUAGGGUAGAGCUGGUCACCUGUUAAGAUUCUUGAAGAGAACCAAAACAAGGCAACACAAUUAAAGUUAUAGGGCCUUCUUUCCUUUAAUCUGCGCUUGAAGAUGGAAUAGAUUAAAGGGAGAAGGUUGAAACAACCACAAAUAUGUAAUUAAAACAAGAGACAACUGUGAACUUAUUUAUUUAUUUACCCUUUGCUGACUAUAAUUGAUUACAAGUGUACCUUUGAAGAAUUUGAAGAGUACAUGAAGGUCCAAAUGCUUUGGAGCUUCAGACACGGAACGAUUCAAGAUUGCUUGGGCGUAUUCACCAUUCGAAAAGAGGAAUGUCCUUAUGCAUUGGAACAUUUCACCUAUUUGUAGGUAUAGCAAAACUAUGACCUUAGAUCCUACACCUAUGAACUAUAAGGUGCAUUAAGGGUGUCACCGUCUUUUCCCCUUGUAAAUGUGGUGCACACGCAUCUCAAUUCCUCCUUCAUUUCCCCGUUGCUUGGUUCCUGUGCCAUGAGAUGCUUCGGCUAGACACUAAUGUCAAAGCUUC
rnacentral:lncRNA from 1 species